UGGUAGAGGAGGUUCAAUGAAAGCACCAAAUGGAACAAACUAACUUGUCUUGAAAGAUAGAGAACAACUUACAAUUACUGAAAGCUAUAGACAAGCUAAAAAGGAAAAAAAACAAGAAUGGAGGGGGAUACCAGACUAUUACAAGCUAAGAAAUUAAAAGACAACUUCAUCCAUGAUCCUCUUUGGUAGAAUCCCUUUUGAUUAUAUAGAUAAGUUAUGUUGCAGAGCUCCUGGCAGCACUGCUUGGUGCUGCUGGUGCUACUGGUACUGGCACAGCUGCCCUUACUUGGCAUUUGGGACCACAUAUUGGUCCAAGUAUUUAGGGGGCUGUUUGUCCUUUUUGCUGCGGCGUAGUGUUACCCCGUGGUCUUGCAGAUUUGUUACAAAUAUACUAAUAUAAUAGUACAAAAAUAUCGAGAAAAAAACUCUCCUCGUAAACAAGACUCUCUAAUCGUUAAAGGACUCUAUUAUUUUGUAUGUCAUAUAGUGUGAAAUUACUGUUGGAGUUAAGUAUUGGC
rnacentral:lncRNA from 1 species